rnacentral:rRNA from 1 species
GGGUCAGUAGGUUGGUCGUGCCACCGGUACGUACUGGUCUCACUGAUUCCUCCUUCCUGAAGAACCGUAAUGCCAUUAAUUUGGUGUUGCGGGGAAACAGGACUGUUACUUUGAAAAAAUUAGAGUGUUUAAAGCAAGCUAACGCUUGAAUACAUUAGCAUGGAAUAAUGAAAUAGGACGAUCCAUCCGAUUUUGUUGGUUUCUAGGAUUGACGUA